rnacentral:rRNA from 1 species
GGGUCCGUAGGCGGAUUUUUAAGUCAGUGGUGAAAGCCGACAGCUCAACUGUCGAACUGCCAUUGAUACUGGAAAUCUUGAGUACAAAUGAAGUAGGCGGAAUGAGUCAUGUAGCGGUGAAAUGCAUAGAUAUGACUCAGAACACCGAUUGCGAAGGCAGCUUACUAACAUGUAACUGACGCUGAGGGACGAAAGCGUGGGGAGCGAACAGGAUUAGAUACCCUGGUAGUCCACGCCGUAAACGAUCAUCACUCGCUGUUGGCGAUAUACUGUCAGCGGCCAAGCGAAAGUAUUAAGUGAUGCACCUGGGGAGUACGCCGGCAACGGUGAAACUCAAAGGAAUUGACGGGGGCCCGCACAAGCGGUGGAGCAUGUGGUUUAAUUCGAUGCAACGCGAAGAACCUUACCUACUCUUGACAUACUAGAAACUUUUCAGAGAUGAAUUGGUGCCUUCGGGAAUCUAGAUACAGGUGCUGCAUGGCU